rnacentral:rRNA from 1 species
GACAGAGGUCCCGAGCGUUGUUCGGAUUCAUUGGGCGUAAAGGGUGUGUAGGAGGUUGGGUAAGUCAGGUGUGAAAUCUCAGAGCUUAACUCUGAAACUGCGCUUGAUACUGCCCGGCUAGAGGAUCGGAGGGGGUAACGGAAUUUAUGGUGUAGCAGUGAAAUGCGUAGAUAUCAUAAGGAACACCGGUGGCGAAGGCGGUUACCUGGAAGAUUCCUGACUCUGAAACACGAAAGCCAGGGGAGCAAACGGG